GAUGAACGCUAGCGGGAGGCUUAACACAUGCAAGUCGAGGGGCAUCACGAGGUAGCAAUACUUUGGUGGCGACCGGCGCACGGGUGAGUAACACGUAUGCAACCUUCCCUGUACAGGGGGAUAACCCGGAGAAAUUCGGACUAAUACCCCAUGAUGAUAUUUAUGGGCAUCCAUUGAUAUUUAAAGCUCUGGCGGUACAGGAUGGGCAUGCGCGACAUUAGCUAGUUGGUAAGGUAACGGCUUACCAAGGCCACGAUGUUUAGGGGACCUGAGAGGGUUGUCCCCCACACUGGUACUGAGACACGGACCAGACUCCUACGGGAGGCAGCAGUGAGGAAUAUUGGUCAAUGGGCGCAAGCCUGAACCAGCCAUCCCGCGUGAAGGAAGAAUGCGCUACGCGUUGUAAACUUCUUUUCCAGGGGAGAAUAAUCCUGUCGUGACAGGACUUGACGGUACUCUGGGAAUAAGCAUCGGCUAACUCCGUGCCAGCAGCCGCGGUAAA
rnacentral:rRNA from 1 species